GAUGAACGCUGGCGGCGUGCCUAAUACAUGCAAGUCGAGCGAACGGACGAGAAGCUUGCUUCUCUGAUGUUAGCGGCGGACGGGUGAGUAACACGUGGAUAACCUACCUAUAAGACUGGGAUAACUUCGGGGAACCGGAGCUAAUACCGGAUAAUAUUUUGAACCGCAUGGUUCAAAAGUGAAAGACGGUCUUGCUGUCACUUAUAGAUGGAUCCGCGCUGCAUUAGCUAGUUGGUAAGGUAACGGCUUACCAAGGCAACGAUGCAUAGCCGACCUGAGAGGGUGAUCGGCCACACUGGAACUGAGACACGGUCCAGACUCCUACGGGAGGCAGCAGUAGGGAAUCUUCCGCAAUGGGCGAAAGCCUGACGGAGCAACGCCGCGUGAGUGAUGAAGGUCUUCGGAUCGUAAAACUCUGUUAUUAGGGAAGAACAUAUGUGUAAGUAACUGUGCACAUCUUGACGGUACCUAAUCAGAAAGCCACGGCUAACUACGUGCCAGCAGCCGCGGUAAUACGUAGGUGGCAAGCGUUAUCCGGAAUUAUUGGGCGUAAAGCGCGCGUAGGCGGUUUUUUAAGUCUGAUGUGAAAGCCCACGGCUCAACCGUGGAGGGUCAUUGGAAACUGGAAAACUUGAGUGCAGAAGAGGAAAGUGGAAUUCCAUGUGUAGCGGUGAAAUGCGCAGAGAUAUGGAGGAACACCAGUGGCGAAGGCGACUUUCUGGUCUGUAACUGACGCUGAUGUGCGAAAGCGUGGGGAUCAAACAGGAUUAGAUACCCUGGUAGUCCACGCCGUAAACGAUGAGUGCUAAGUGUUAGGGGGUUUCCGCCCCUUAGUGCUGCAGCUAACGCAUUAAGCACUCCGCCUGGGGAGUACGACCGCAAGGUUGAAACUCAAAGGAAUUGACGGGGACCCGCACAAGCGGUGGAGCAUGUGGUUUAAUUCGAAGCAACGCGAAGAACCUUACCAAAUCUUGACAUCCUUUGACAACUCUAGAGAUAGAGCUUUCCCCUUCGGGGGACAAAGUGACAGGUGGUGCAUGGUUGUCGUCAGCUCGUGUCGUGAGAUGUUGGGUUAAGUCCCGCAACGAGCGCAACCCUUAAGCUUAGUUGCCAUCAUUAAGUUGGGCACUCUAAGUUGACUGCCGGUGACAAACCGGAGGAAGGUGGGGAUGACGUCAAAUCAUCAUGCCCCUUAUGAUUUGGGCUACACACGUGCUACAAUGGACAAUACAAAGGGCAGCGAAACCGCGAGGUCAAGCAAAUCCCAUAAAGUUGUUCUCAGUUCGGAUUGUAGUCUGCAACUCGACUACAUGAAGCUGGAAUCGCUAGUAAUCGUAGAUCAGCAUGCUACGGUGAAUACGUUCCCGGGUCU
rnacentral:rRNA from 1 species